UACGUAGGUGGCAAGCGUUGUCCGGAUUUACUGGGCGUAAAGAGCGCGCAGGCGGUCGGAUAAGUCGAAUGUGAAAGCCCCCGGCUCAACUGGGGAGGGUCAUUCGAUACUGAUCGACUGGAAGGCAGGAGAGGGAAGCGGAAUUCCCGGUGUAGUGGUGAAAUGCGUAGAUAUCGGGAGGAACACCAGUGGCGAAGGCGGCUUCCUGGCCUGUUCUUGACGCUGAGGCGCGAAAGCUAGGGGAGCAAACGGG
rnacentral:rRNA from 1 species